GUGCUCGCUUCAGCAGCACAUAUAUUAAAAUUGGAAUGAUACAGAGAAGAUUAACAUGGCCCCUAAAAAAAGAGAGAGAUUUAUUUUUGCAGGAGAUAUAAGCAUAUGUA